rnacentral:rRNA from 1 species
AACGAACGCUGGCGGCAGGCUUAACACAUGCAAGUCGAACGCAUCCUUCGGGGUGAGUGGCAGACGGGUGAGUAACGCGUGGGAACGUGCCCUUCAGUUCGGAAUAACCCAGGGAAACUUGGGCUAAUACCGGAUACGUGCGAGAGCAGAAAGAUUUAUCGCUGAAGGAUCGGCCCGCGUCUGAUUAGCUAGUUGGUGGGGUAAUGGCCCACCAAGACGACGAUCAGUAGCUGGUCUGAGAGGAUGAUCAGCCACAUUGGGACUGAGACACGGCCCAAACUCCUACGGGAGGCAGCAGUGGGGAAUAUUGGACAAUGGGCGCAAGCCUGAUCCAGCCAUGCCGCGUGAGUGAUGACGGCCUUAGGGUUGUAAAGCUCUUUCGUCCGGGACGAUAAUGACGGUACCGGAAGAAGAAGCCCCGGCUAACUUCGUGCCAGCAGCCGCAGUAA